UGUACUUCCUGUGUAAUGGAGGACGCUACAGGCCACAUGUAGCAGGGCGCAUGUAUUCUGCAUAGUAAACUACCGACAAUAUCAUCUUUUGACCACAUAAGUACCACAACCUGUUCAUCUGCUGUAACCUAUCAUCUGAUGUUUUGGAUUAAAGCAACUUCUGUGAAUAGAAUCGGUAUUGCCUUGCAUGUCAUCGCUCAAGGUGUGCUUAAUGAUGAUAACAACAGGGAACAAUUCCUGCACAAGGAGCAGCAACCCAGCCUACCUUGAAGUAAUACGUAACAGGGUGACAACACAGGAAAGCAAUUGGGAGAUAAGGAUAAAAAGGAUAGAGCGUUGUCACCCCAUAACAGAUCAGCACCUGAACAAGGACAGAAUUCUUACAGCUACGAAACAGUCACUUUAAUUCAGAUUUAUAAUACAAACUUCUUGAGUUGAAGCGUGGAGAUUACUGAGUAUUAAUGAAACACCUUCAUCUCGUGCAUAUGGCACAACGAAAGUCAAGAUUUCUUAAAGUGGACCUGAACCCAAAAAGUAAAGAUUUGCUGUCUUAUAGGGAACAUCUCGAAAUGCUGAUUCUGCCUAAACAGCACCCUGCAAUUCUUACUGUUUUAACUUUCCCUGAAAAAGGGAAAUACUUCCUGUGCCUUAAAGGGCUAGUUCACCUUUUAAGAACAAAUUCAAAGGUAGUGACCAAGAAGCAGAAAGAGAAGUGAAGGGAACACAGAUCUACAGAAUGGAUGAAGCAAAAGCAGGGAGAUCCUUGAACAGCUGUGAGGCCUAAAGUGAUGAUGACGCUUCCG